rnacentral:rRNA from 1 species
AUGGAUCGCAUCAAGUUAAAGACCUUUGUUGCUUUGACAAUGGAUGUUGCAUCAGCUUCCCCUGGGCGAUAUUUCUAUGAGAUCAUGAGCUAUUUUGCAACAGCUCAACAUGAAAAGGAAAGGCUUGAGGAGUUUGCUUCUCCGGAAGGAAGAGAUGGCCUUUACCAGUACAAUCACAAGGAGGGUCGAACUGUUCUAGAAGUAUUGGAGGAAUUUCCCUGGGUGCACAUGCCUUUUGAAUGGUUGGUGCAAUUGACACCACCAUUGAAGAAAAGAGCAUUUUCGAUAUCGUCAUCCCCAUUAGCACAUCCAAACCAGAUACACUUGACUGUUAGUGUUGUGUCAUGGCUUGCUACUCCUUUCAGGAGAAAGCAUGGUCUCUGCUCCACAUGGCUGGCAGGACUCGAUCCAAAUGAAGAAACUCUUGUACCAUGCUGGAUACACCAAGGAUCCCUGCCUCCUCCAGAUCCGUCGACUCCUCUCGUUCUUAUUGGACCAGGAACAGGAUGCGCGCCAUUCCGAGCAUUUGUGGAGGAGAGGGCUGCGCAGAGGGCAAGAGAACCCACAGCUCCAAUCCUAUUCUUCUUCGGCUGUAGAAAUGAAGACGAUGAUUUUCUAUACAGGGACUUUUGGUCACACCAUGCCCAGGACAACAGAGUGCUGUCCCUGAAAGAGGGUGGCGGUUUCUUUGCCGCCUUCUCCAGGGAUCAACCUGAGAAGGUGUAUGUGCAACACAAGAUCAGGGAGCAGAGAGCAAGGGUGUUGAACAUGUUAUGCGCUGGUGCCGCAAUAUACGUCGCGGGGUCUUCUACCAAAAUGCCUGCUGAUGUUAGAGCUGCGCUGGAAGAACUUGUCCGCGAAAAGGGCGGCGACGCUGGAUGGCUGAGGAAACUGGAAAGGGCUGGUAAAUAUAACAUCGAAACUUGGUCAUAA